GUGUAUGUGCUGUUGUUUGUACUUCCAGACUGAUGUCAGUUUUAUAGUGCCAGCCCACUAAGAUACCAUGCAGCAGUAUAGCAUGGAUACCCAACUC